rnacentral:tRNA from 1 species
GGACAGGUGGGUGAGUGGCUGAAACUACACCCCUGCUAAGGGUGCGUACCCUAUCCGGGUACCGAGGGUUCGAAUCCCUCCCUGUCCGCCA